GUUGGAAUCGCUAGUAAUCGCGGAUCAGCAUGCCGCGGUGAAUACGUUCCCGGGCCUUGUACACACCGCCCGUCACACCAUGAGAGUCGGGAACACCCGAAGUCCGUAGCCUAACUGCAAGGGGGCGCGGCCGAAGGUGGGUUCGAUAAUUGGGGUGAAGUCGUAACAAGGUAAC
rnacentral:rRNA from 1 species